GACGUAGGGGGCGAGCGUUGUCCGGAUUCAUUGGGCGUAAAGCGCGCGUAGGCGGCUACUUAAGUCGGAUGUGAAAGCCCCUGGCUCAACUGGGGAAGUGCACCCGAAACUGAGUGGCUUGAGUACUAAAGAGGGUCGCGGAAUUCCCGGUGUAGAGGUGAAAUUCGUAGAUAUUCGGAAGAACACCAGUGGCGAAGGCGACUUACUGGACACAUAUUGACGCUGAGGUGCGAAAGCGUGGGGAGCAAACAGG
rnacentral:rRNA from 1 species